CGGGCGGCUCCACCAGUAAGGAAUAUUACGCAAUGGAGGCAACUCUGACGCAGCCAUGCCGCGUGCAGGAAGAAGGCCUUAUGGGUCGUAAACUGCUUUUAUUUAGGAAUAAACCCCCGAACGUGUUCGGGGCUGAAGGUACUAAACGAAUAAGCACCGGCUAACUCCGUGCCAGCAGCCGCGGUAAUACGGAGGGUGCAAGCGUUAUCCGGAUUUAUUGGGUUUAAAGGGUGCGCAGGCGGGCUAUUAAGUCAGUGGUGAAAUCCCGGGGCUCAACUCCGGAACUGCCAUUGAUACUGAUAGUCUUGAGUUUGGUUGAAGUGGGCGGAAUGUAGCAUGUAGCGGUGAAAUGCAUAGAUAUGCUACAGAACACCAAUCGCGAAGGCAGCUCACUAAGCCAAAACUGACGCUCAUGCACGAAAGCGUGGGGAUCAAACAGGAUUAGAUACCCUCGUAGUC
rnacentral:rRNA from 1 species